rnacentral:rRNA from 1 species
CUUCGGCCCGAGUUGUAAUUUGCAGAGGAUGUUUAUGGUGCAGUACCUUCCGAGUUCCCUGGAACGGGACGCCACAGAGGGUGAGAGCCCCGUCUGGUUGGAUACUAAGCCUGUGUUAAACUCCUUCAACGAGUCGAGUAGUUUGGGAAUGCUGCUCUAAAUGGGAGGUAUAUCUCUUCUAAAGCUAAAUAUUGGCCAGAGACCGAUAGCGCACAAGUAGAGUGAUCGAAAGAUGAAAAGCACCUUGAAAAGGGGGUUAAACAGUACGUGAAAUUGUUGAAAGGGAAGCGUUUAUGACCAGACUUGUGCCGUGUGGCUCAUCCGAGGUUCUCCCCGGUGCACUCCACACGGUUCAGGCCAACAUCGGUUUUCGCUGGGGGAUAAGAGCAGUAGGAACGUAGCUCCCUUCGGGGAGUGUUAUAGC